AUGGGGUUCAGAUCAGGUGAACAAGGAGGCCAUGUCAUUAGAUUUUCUUCUUUUAUACCCUUUCUUGCCAGCCACGCUGUGGAGUACUUGGACGCCUGUGAUGGAGCAUUGUCCUGCAUGAAAAUCAUGUUUUUCUUGAAGGAUGCAGACUUUUUCCUGUACCACUGCUUGAAGAAGGUGUCUUCCAGGAACUGGCAGUAGGACUGGGAGUUGAGCUUGACUCCAUCCUCAACCCGAAAACGCCCCACAAGCUCAUCUUUGAUGAUACCAGCCCAAACCAGUACUCCACCUCCACCUUGCUGGCGUCUGAGUCGGACUGGAGCUCUCUGCCCUUUACCAAUCCAGCCAUGUGCCCAUCCAUCUGGCCCAUCAAGACUCAC
rnacentral:lncRNA from 1 species